rnacentral:lncRNA from 1 species
AUGUGUCCCUUGACCUUGCAGGUCACUGGCCUAAUGAAUGUCUCUGAGCCAAAUUCCAGCUUUGCUUUUGUAAAUGAAUUUAUACUCCAAGGUUUCUCUUGUGAGUGGACAAUUCAGAUCUUCCUCUUCUCACUCUUUACUACAAUAUAUGCACUGACUAUAACAGGGAAUGGAGCCAUUGCUUUUGCCCUGUGGUGUGACCGGCGACUUCACACUCCCAUGUACAUGUUCCUGGGAGAUUUCUCCUUUUUAGAGAUAUGGUAUGUCUUUUCUACAGUUCCCAAGAUGUUGGUCAACUUCCUUUCAGAGAAAACAAACAUCUCCUUUGCUGGAUUGUUUUCUCCAGUUUUAUUUCUUCUUCUCUUUGGGUACAUCAGAAUGCUUGCUUUUGACUGUGAUGGCCUUUGAUCAGUACCUUGCUAUCUGCCGUCCCUUGCACUAUCCUAAUAUCAUGACUGGGCAUCUCUGUGCCAAACUGGUCAUACUGUGCUGGGUUUGUGGCUUUCUGUGGUUCCUGAUCCCCAUUUUCUCAUCUCUCAGAUGCCCUUCUGUGGCCCAAACAUUAUUGACCAUGUUGUGUGUGACCCAGGGCCACUAUUUGCAUUGGAUUGUGUUUCUGCCCCAAGAAUCCAACUGUUUUGCUACACUCUAAGCUCAUUAGUUAUUUUUGGUAACUUCCUCUUUAUUAUUGGAUCCUAUACUAUUGUCCUGAAAGUUGUGUUGGGUACGCCUUCAAGCACUGGGAGACAUAAGGCCUUCUCUACCUGUGGGUCUCAUUUGGCUGUGGUAUCACUGUGCUAUGGCUCUCUUAUGGUCAUGUAUGUGAGCCCAGGACUCGGACAUUCUACGGGGAUGCAGAAAAUUGUAACUUUGUUCUAUGCUAUGGUGACCCCACUCUUCAAUCCCCUUAUCUAUAGCCUCCAGAAUAAGGAGAUAAAGGCAGCCCUGAGGAAAGUUCUGGGGAGUUCCAACAUAAUCU